GGGUAGAAUGUCUUCGGAUAUUUGAGACCGGCGCACGGGUGCGUAACACGUAUGCAACCUGCCUUUUACUGGGGAAUAGCCCGAAGAAAUUCGGAUUAAUGCCCCAUAUGCUCGCACAAUCGCAUGAUUGAGCGAGGAAAGCUCCGGCGGUAAAAGAUGGGCAUGCGUCCUAUUAGCUUGUUGGUGAGGUAAUGGCUCACCAAGGCUACGAUAGGUAGGGGACCUGAGAGGGUGAACCCCCACACUGGUACUGAGACACGGACCAGACUCCUACGGGAGGCAGCAGUGAGGAAUAUUGGGCAAUGGAGGAAACUCUGACCCAGCCAUGCCGCGUGCAGGAAGACGGCCCUCUGGGUUGUAAACUGCUUUUAUAUGGGAAUAAACCCUUCCACGUGUGGAAGGCUGAAGGUACCAUAAGAAUAAGGAUCGGCUAACUCCGUGCCAGCAGCCGCGGUAAUACGGAGGAUCCAAGCGUUAUCCGGAUUUAUUGGGUUUAAAGGGUCCGUAGGCGGGUCUUUAAGUCAGUGGUGAAAGCCUGCAGCUUAACUGUAGAAUUGCCAUUGAUACUGAAGACCUUGAGUGUAGUAGAAGUAGGCGGAAUAUGGCAUGUAGCGGUGAAAUGCAUAGAUAUGCCAUAGAACACCGAUUGCGAAGGCAGCUUACUAUGUUACAACUGACGCUGAGGGACGAAAGCGUGGGUAGCAAACAGGAUUAGAUACCCUGGUAGUCCACGCCGUAAACGAUGAUUACUCGCUGUUAGCGAUAUACAGUUAGCGGCCAAGCGAAAGCAUUAAGUAAUCCACCCUGGGGAGUACGCCGGCAACGGUGAAACUCAAGGGAAUUGACGGGGGCCCGCACAAGCGGUGGAGCAUGUGGUUUAAUUCGAUGAUACGCGAGGAACCUUACCAGGGUUUAAAUGGAAAUUGACAGAUGCCGAAAGGUAUCCUUCUUCGGACAAUUUUCAAGGUGCUGGCAUGGUUGUCGUCAGCUCGUGCCGCGAAGGUGUUUGGGUUAAGUCCCGCAACGAGCGCAACCCCUACUGUUAGUUGCCAGCG
rnacentral:rRNA from 1 species